rnacentral:rRNA from 1 species
GAUGAACGCUAGCGGCAGGCUUAAUACAUGCAAGUCGUGGGGUAGAGAGGGGCUUGCUCCUCUUGAGACCGGCAAACGGGUGAGGAACACGUACACAACCUUCCUUUUAGUGGGGGAUAGCCCAGGGAAACUUGGAUUAAUACCCCGUAAUAUGACGAUGAGGCAUCUCAUUGUUAUUAUAGCAGCGAUGCGCUAGAAGACGGGUGUGCGUAUGAUUAGGUAGUUGGCGGGGUAACGGCCCACCAAGCCCAUGAUCAUUAACUGGUGUGAGAGCACGACCAGUCACACGGGCACUGAGACACGGGCCCGACUCCUACGGGAGCAGCAGUAAGGAAUAUUGGUCAAUGGACGCAAGUCUGAACCAGCCAUGCCGCGUGGAGGAUGAAGGUCCUCUGGAUUGUAAACUUCUUUUAUAGGGGGCGAAAAAACGGUUUUCUAACCGGACUGACGGUACCCUAUGAAUAAGCACCGGCUAACUCCGUGCCAGCCGCCGCGGUAAU